GCCUUCUUAGUUCAGUGGCUAGAAUUUUUCACUAGUAGUGUCCUCCUCAUCGGAGAGCUUGCUAUGAAAGGGUCACCCGUUCAAUUCGGGUAGAAGGCA